AAUAAUUGCACAUAAAAUUUAAAGUAAAUUUAAAGGCAACUCCGGUGUAAAUCCGGGACAGUCACGCUACUGUAAAUUCUGAGCAAAGGAAGAAUUUACCUCGAGUAAACGAAAGUGUAUCGAGGAGUAAGUCCUUCGACUUCCGCUCAGGACAAGUCAGAAAACUUUGAAUUUACUAUAAUAAGUC
rnacentral:ncRNA from 2 species